GUCAGAAACAUUUCUCCGCUCCUUUUUCUGUCAAAAAUUUAAGAAGAAAAACACGAGGGGUUGAUUGGCGAUGGGUGGAAUAUUCUCUCAACAAGCACACGACACCACUCCUUCAGCUUCUGUGGAGCCCGAUUCAAAACCGAAGAAGAAGAUAUGCUGUGCUUGCCCCGAGACUAAAAAGGCGAGAGACGAAUGCAUUGUGGAGAACGGUGAAGCUGCUUGUGAGAAAUUGAUCGAGGCUCACAAGAUAUGCCUUCGUGCAGAAGGCUUCAACGUCUGAGGUAGUCGAAUUUAUCUCGAUUUUUUUUUUCUUUUUUUCUUUUUUCGAAUUUAUAAAGUUAUGGAAACAACAUAAAUAUUACCCUGUUAGGAUUUUUUUUAAGGUUAGUAUCUUGUGAUUGAUGAUGGUGGAUUAAUUCAUCUGAAUUUUCUGAAAUAUGAAUAUAUUUUUUUCUUUUAUUUCUUUUUGGUUCGUUUUUCGAUUUAAUAACUCGAUUUUUCGUUUUCAAAAUAAAAGAGGCAAGUAAGAUAGCGAAAAAGACGAGUAGAGGAGAGUAGAUAUCGAUUCAUUAAAAUAGGGUACAAAAGGGACACUCAAACUUGACAAAGGACCAUUGAUUGUUUAGUACAAA